AUUGAACGCUGGCGGCAUGCUUUACACAUGCAAGUCGAACGGCAGCGCGGGCUUCGGCCUGGCGGCGAGUGGCGAACGGGUGAGUAAUGCAUCGGAACGUGCCCAGUAGUGGGGGAUAGCCCGGCGAAAGCCGGAUUAAUACCGCAUACGACCUGAGGGUGAAAGCGGGGGACCGAAAGGCCUCGCGCUAUUGGAGCGGCCGAUGUCGGAUUAGCUAGUUGGUGGGGUAAAGGCUUACCAAGGCGACGAUCCGUAGCUGGUCUGAGAGGACGACCAGCCACACUGGGACUGAGACACGGCCCAGACUCCAACGGGAGGCAGCAGUGGGGAAUUUUGGACAAUGGGGGCAACCCUGAUCCAGCCAUGCCGCGUGCGGGAAGAAGGCCUUCGGGUUGUAAACCGCUUUUGUUCGGGAAGAAAUCCUCUGGGCUAAUACCCCGGGGGGAUGACGGUACCGGAAGAAUAAGCACCGGCUAACUACGUG
rnacentral:rRNA from 1 species